GCCAGGAGUGGAGGUCCAACCUACAACUUCAAGUCAAAUGGAAGAAAGUAACACUCUUGGAACUCCAAGACCUUGUUUUCGGACCUGUGAGCAACGUGUCCCACCAAACUCUGUCAGUUAUACGUUCAACAGAUCAGGACAUCACAACGCCUUUUCUGAUGAUACGUCACGUCUCUGACUGGACACAGACAACUGAGUGUGAGUACCAGCAACAUGUUCAAGAAGGACCUCUACAACCACAUUGGUUGAAUCUGUUUCAAAUCUUCCCGACCACUCACAUGGCAGAACGAUGCCAGGGUCAGAUCACUUGGCUUCACACUCCAUUU
ensembl:lncRNA